AUGCAACUGAUUUUGAUAAAAGGAAAUACUGUCUUUGGACCCCAAUUAAGCAAAAUAUUAUCCCUCCCAAAAGAAAUUACAUUAUUCUUUUUUAACCUUUUUUUUUUUUUUUUUUUUUUUUUUGAGACAGAGUCUCGCUCUGUUGCCAGGCACCAGGCUGGAGUGCAGUGGCGUGAUCUCGGCUCACUGCAACCUCUGCCUCCCAGGUUCAAGCAAUUCUCCUGCCUUCAGCCUCCAAAGUAGCUGGGACCAUAGGCAUGCACCACCACACCCAGCUAGUUUUUUUAUUUUUUUGUAUUUUUUAGUAGAGAAGGGGUUUCACCAUGUUGGCCAGGAUGGUCUCGAUCUCCUGACCUAGUGAUCCGCCCACCUCAGCCUCCCAAAAUGGAUAAUUUUUAAAUUACAAAAUGAUAUUCUAAUAUUGCAUGAGAUCUUAAAGAUGCAUAUGUCACUCUAUUCUACCACAUCUCAGAAUUUCCGCUAUCCUUCACUUUUUUAUCCUCUCUAUUUCUUUGAUAAUCCCUGUUGUAACACCAAAACAUGUAUUUUAACUGAUAUGCUUGUUCCAAUCCAUUCUUACCUCCCAGAGCCAUAUUCUCUCUUUCCUCAACUCUUCCCUUUCCAUCUGCUCUCCAUUUAAUGACUUUUUACAUAGUUCCUCAGUAUUUAAGCAUUUUUCUCAUAAAAACAGAGAUUGAUAAGUCCAUGAUUUUAUUCUGUCUUCUGAUAGGUAACAUUGAAAAAAAUCACUUAUUCUUUAAAGGUGUUGGGGGCAGGUGGGAAAGAAGGACAGCAAAGCAUAAGCAUUCAAGUUCAAUGUGUGGGAUAUCAGAGGCACUGUGGGAAAUUCUGCCAUAGGAAAAGUGAUGAGUGAGCUGAUUGAGAGAAAGCCCCUCAGCAGAGGUCUAGAAGGGACAAGUGUGUGGGAAGAAAUGUCUCACAGAGACGGGUGUGGUCAUUUUAAUAGAGAGAAGAAAUACGUACUAUUGCCCCUUUAACAACAUUGUAAUUGUCUAUUGCUAAGUUAGAAAUGCAAUUUCAGAAUUAACUGGAGGUGGUCAUGAAACAGUUAAAGCACAGUUUCACAUUCAUAUAGUUUUGAAUAUAGCACCAAAUUUAGUCAGUUACUGGUUGUGUCUGCUUGUGUCUAUUUUUUAUCCUCUCUAAGCUUCAGUUUUUUAAUUGAGUAAAAGAAUUUAUGAAACUUGUUUCAUGGGAUUCUUGAGAUAAAUAAAAUUAUGUAUAAACAUUCCUUACCAGCAUGUGAUAAUUAAUCAUUCAGUGCCAGCUAUUCUUAUAAUUAAAUGAGGAUGUUGUCUAGAAAAUGUUACUGUAGUACAUCUGUCAUAGGCCGAGCGGGGAGUAAAGCCCUUAGGUGCUACCACCUGAGCAAACAGACACAAAUCCACCAGAAGAACGUUUAUCCCAUUUCCUGUCAUAUGGCAGUUAAUAGAUACUUAUGAUGAGGAAUUUCUUAUUUACAAUAAUAAUAUUUUUAAGCAUAUCCUUUGGGCCAGGCACUAUUCUCAGGUAUCAAGUAUUAACACGUUUAAUCUUACCCAGUGAGGCAUAGUCUAUUAAUAUUUUUAUUUUAUAGGUGAAAAAAUGAGGAAUGAAUAGACUAAAAAUUAGCUCAAGGUCACUGAGAUAAGCAUAGUAAAGUUGGAAGAGAAGGAAGCCUAGUUCAAGGGCCAUUUUAAUUAUCUUGAAAUCAUACCUCAGGGUGGCAAUACAGGGAUAAGUGUAUUUUAUAGUUACAAACUCAAACCAGUGAAUUAACGUUGUUUUACAUUAAACGUGUGAAUUCUUAAUGUGGAUAGCCUAAUUACAUUUCAGUUAUCAUUUAAAAUGCCGGGAGAUAGCAGGAUGAAUAUGGCCACUCUGCAAUAUUUAAAUCUGCUUCUAAAUCAGUCUUCUGUAUCUCAGUAAGUGGCAUCACUGUCAAACAAUUUGCUGACUCCCAAAUCUAGGAGUCAUCCUUAAUUUCUCAUUUUACCUCACUAUCCCCAUUCCAAUCCACUAAUAAUUCUAAUAAUUCUAUCUGGAGUCACACCCCAAACCAAUAUAUUUUUUUUGCUCUCCACUACUUCCACCUUCAACAAGACCACCAUCAAACUCUGAUGCUCACAAAUGUGUAUCAUCUUUCCAACUCGUCUCUCUGCCAAAGUUGAUUCUCUUCACAGCAGCCCUAAUAAUCUAGCCUCUACCUCCCUCUUUACCCUUUUCUACCUCUCUUUCUCUUACCCUUUACAUUUUGUUGACACUGGCUUUUUUACGUUCCUUGAAAAAAAUGCUCAUUUCCACCUUCAGAACUGAACUUUGUAUUAUUAUUGCCUUCGUUGUCAUUCAGUUUUCAGGCUAAAUGUCAUUAUCCUGAAAAGAAUUCUCAUAACCACAUAAUUUGAAGUAAAACAAAUAAAAUGUGAUUAUAAAAUUACUCUGAGAAUUCUCAUAGGGAUGUACCAAUAAAAUAGUUGCAACUGUAAGAAGCUGUUAAUUGCUAACAUGAGUGACAUAGAAAUAGAAAAAAGAUUUAACUAUCAAUCAAAUGGGUGUUGGAUUCACUGAGCAUAAAAUUGAAUGCUAGUCUGUAUAUUUGUAGCUUGCCCUGCCCCUUGAAGUUUGAUCUGUUUAAAAAUAGGAGAUUUACUCAGGAUCAGCUGUAGGCAUGCCUUGAUUUGGCUUCAGCAAUGAGAAGUACUCAGC
ensembl:lncRNA